CGCAGAUGAGGAUAGAUUCAAUCUGACAAGAUGAAUCAGGCAGUUCUGUUUGCGUUUUUUUCUUUGGAAUUUGUAUGGAUUUGUUCAGUCAAAUGGGAGCAGUGAGGGCAGACUCUCGCUAUACCUCAAUAAUGAGGAACAUUAUGCACUUGAAGCAAAGGUCAUCUGCUGGCAUUUCCGCAGAAUCUUCAGGUUGAUGGGAGGAAACACUUUUCACCAGACGUAAACGCAGAUACCAUCGUUUGUGCUGGUGACCCAUGUAAGAACGGAGCCACUUAUAUUGACGGCAUUAACAUUUUCACCUGUGCAUGUAAAAACAGCUGGGAAGGACAAACCUGUGAAAUUACGACCCAUGUAAGAACGGGGCUACAUGUACUGACGGCAUUAACAGCUACAACUGUUCAUGUGUUAACGGCUGGGAGGUUACAACCUGUGAAAUUAAUAUGGACGAUUGUGUUGGUGACCCAUGUGAGAACGGAGCCCUAUGUACUGACGGCAUUAACAGCUUUACUUGUGAAUGUUUAAACGGAUUUGAAGACCAACCGAUGAACUUUAUAUGGACGAUUCUGCAAGCAGCCCAUGUGCGAACAGAGCCACCUGUAAUAAUAGGUUUGACUUUCGAUGACGCUCGUCCUCGAUUUCGGAAUAACGAGCCUUAGAGUUUCAUAUAAUUUCACAUGUGGGGACAACAGUUUGAAAGUGGAUGCCAACUAUACUUACCUGGUCUUACUGCUGAAUGAAUGUUGCACAGAGUGCUGGCAGGUCUCUCGGUCUUCUGAUAGCAAAGUUUAGAGCAUAUAGGAGUAUGUCUUACAGUGUAUUCACUAAACGUUAUGACAGCACAGUGUGGCCUGUAAUAGCAUAUGGCGCAGCUAUAUGGGGGAGUAGAUCAUAUUCUUGUAUUAACGCUGUUCAGAGUCGAGCCAUGAGGUUUUUCGUGGGUACGGGUAAAUAAACGCCCAAAAAUGCUUGGCAGCCCCCACAGGUGAAACAGUGGAGAUCUGUGUCACAACAAUAGCAUAAGCUUAAUCAAAUGGUAACAAAUAGAGUUAAUUAUAAAAAAUUUAAAUUCUGUUGUAAUACGAGUAGUGAUAGAUGUAAAAAUUGGCAGUUUCAAUAUAAGAACCAUCUGUCAUAUAUUACUUCACUUCUGUUGGAUAAAUAUGAAAAUAUGUCCUCAAAACUUCUUUGUGGAAAAAUUGUACAUUUUACUAUGAAUAUGUUCAAUGAGGAAUGGAGAGCCAGUAUAAAUAUUGUAAUAGGCCCAUCCGGUCAAGGAAAAAAUAAACUUAGAACAUAUCUAUAUAUAUAUAUAGGUUAUUUAAGGUUGAAUAUAAAACUGAAAACUAUGUUAAAUGCUCCAGUUUAGCUAGAAAGCACUAGUCAGCAAUGGCAAAGUUCAGGUGUGGAGUUGCUCCACGGGAAACGGGAAGAUACGAAAACAUCCCUGAAAAUCUACGUUUAUGUCCUAUAUGUAAACUUGCCAUAGAAAAUGAAAUUCAUGUACCUUUUCACUGUCCUUCUAACCAGAGUUUCAGAAAUGAUAUUGUUAGAAAAGCCAUUAAGCUUGUUGCAUCAUUUAGUAAUAUGUGUGAUCAUGACAAAUUGAACUUUGUUCUCUCCAACGAAAAUAUAUUAAAAACAAGUGCCAAAAAUUAUUACUUGAUUCUAAAAGCCAAAACUGAUCUUUUGUACAGGUAGUGUGUGUAUAUAUAUAUAUGAAUACAAACUACCACAUGACAACAUGAUUUGCUAUCUGCUGUUGGUAUUUUAAAUUAAAAGUUUAAUUUAGCUGACAGCAAAUAUCAAAACAUUUUGAAUGUGGUAUUUAGCUAUUUCAAUUCAUAGAUAAUUUUAGAAUCUAUGUAGAUAAUAUCUCACCUUUUUAAAAAAAAUAGCAUAUGUAACUUUUUUAGUUAUACGUAAAAUGGCUUUGCUAAUCCGACCAUAAAUGAUCUGAUCAUAUGUGGAUUUCGUAUCUUACUUCCAUUUCUUAUUUGUGCAUUAGUACUAAUUUACACUAUCAGAAUUUUGUUUUCAUUGUCCUAAAGCAGUUUUUAAAAGGGGAUUAGCACAGGUAUUUUGCUCAUAUCUGUAAAAAGAUGUAUUGAUAUGUGUCUUAAUUGUAUUAUAAAAUUGAUAGUCUCUUAUAACUCUUACUAGAGUGGCAAUCCACUUGUAUGUACUGUUUGUUGAAUGUAAUUUUAUUCAUGAAUGUACAAUGCAUUGAUGAGACUGAAAUAAAUAAAUAA